rnacentral:lncRNA from 1 species
CGGGGCACUUUAUUCCGGCCGGUCUGUGUAAAAAUAAAUACACAGCUAUUUUGACGCCACAAUCAAAGAAUGCCAGAGAAAAUGAAGGAACAAACAAAUGAUAAAAUCAGCUCUAUUUUGCGCAGCAGCAGAAAGAUUCUACCGAAUAGCAGGCAUGCCGAGUUCCCUAAAGUAGCACUUACAUUCCUCAACCAAAAUACUCCAAUCGUAUUAAUAGGGAGGCAGGAAAAAUAAUCCGGAGAAGAUCCUGUUGGGAGAAUAACCACCCUAGAUUCUCCUCCAGUCAGUCCUUUAAUGGUAUGUCUCACACAGCCACCGGGUUGGAGCACCUCAAUGUUUAAAUCAUCUUUAAUCAAGACUGGAGAAUAAGGGCAGGUUCACGGGGGAAAUGCCUUUCUGUUGCACGCUUAAUUGAGACUUCUGUGACUUGCCGUUAGGUAAGCGCCGCGCGCGGCCCAGGGUCCCGCAGCCCUGCCCUUUGUUACGCGGUGGACCCCGCCGGCAGGCCCAGCCCCCAGCCCCUGGGGCUUUCAGUCCCAGCGUGGGGUGCAGCGGGGCCCCCACGGCCGACACCUACCAGGGCCCACGGGCAGGGCGCAGCAACUCCACGCCCUGCAGCCCCGCACCGGGACGCCCGGGCCGGGUGCCCACCAGCCCCUCGCGCCCAAAGCCGCGCGCGGCCCCCCGCCCGGACCAGAUCAGGCUCUGCCACGGACGGAGUAUCAACUGCCAGAGAGGAAAAAAAAAAAUCUGAAGUUGGAAGGUACAGGCUGCCCUUCACUUUCACAGUGAACACCAGUUUCAACAAUUCCCGAUUUCGCUACGCUUAGCGCCGGGCGAGUGGGCUCCAACACUCUAACCCCAAGAAGCGCGGCGCGUCUGUCGCGUGGGAACGAGACGGGAGAAACCACACAUUUCGAUAAUCUCUGAGAAGCACAAUCACAUCACUCCUUGGCUUCCCCUUCUGCAGGUUUCGCCUUGAAUCCGAAAGCACCUCUGAUGCUCAUUCUUUACAGGAGGACACUCAGAGGAGACUGCUGCGUGCCUACCUAGCUGCACAGACUCGGAAAAAAGCGUGUCCACGUCUACAGCUCACAACUGUGCAAAUUCG